rnacentral:rRNA from 1 species
AAUCCAUAGGUUAAUGAGGCGAACCGGGGGAACUGAAACAUCUAAGUACCCCGAGGAAAAGAAAUCAACCGAGAUUCCCCCAGUAGCGGCGAGCGAACGGGGAGGAGCCCAGAGCCUGAAUCAGCAUGUGUGUUAGUGGAAGCGUCUGGAAAGGCGCGCGAUACAGGGUGACAGCCCCGUACACAAAAGCGCAUGUGCUGUGAGCUCGAUGAGUAGGGCGGGACACGUGGUAUCCUGUCUGAAUAUGGGGGGACCAUCCUCCAAGGCUAAAUACUCCUGACUGACCGAUAGUGAACCAGUACCGUGAGGGAAAGGCGAAAAGAACCCCGGCGAGGGGAGUGAAAAAGAACCUGAAACCGUGUACGUACAAGCAGUGGGAGCACCCUUUGGGUGUGACUGCGUACCUUUUGUAUAAUGGGUCAGCGACUUAUAUUCUGUAGCAAGGUUAACCGAAUAGGGGAGCCGGAGGGAAACCGAGUCUUAACCGGGCGUUAAGUUGCAGGGUAUAGACCCGAAACCCGGUGAUCUAGCCAUGGGCAGGUUGAAGGUUGGGUAACACUAACUGGAGGACCGAACCGACUAAUGUUGAAAAAUUAGCGGAUGACCUGUGGCUGGGGGUGAAAGGCCAAUCAAACCGGGAGAUAGCUGGUUCUCCCCGAAAGCUAUUUAGGUAGCGCCUCGUGAAUUCAUCUCCGGGGGUAGAGCACUGUUUCGGCUAGGGGGCCAUCCCGGCUUACCAACCCGAUGCAAACUGCGAAUACCGGAGAAUGUUAUCACGGGAGACACACGGCGGGUGCUAACGUCCGUCGUGAAGAGGGAAACAACCCAGACCGCCAGCUAAGGUCCCAAAGUCAUGGUUAAGUGGGAAACGAUGUGGGAAGGCCCAGACAGCCAGGAUGUUGGCUUAGAAGCAGCCAUCAUUUAAAGAAAGCGUAAUAGCUCACUGGUCGAGUCGGCCUGCGCGGAAGAUGUAACGGGGCUAAACCAUGCACCGAAGCUGCGGCAGCGACACUGUGUGUUGUUGGGUAGGGGAGCGUUCUGUAAGCCUGUGAAGGUGUGUCGUGAGGCAUGCUGGAGGUAUCAGAAGUGCGAAUGCU